UACAGAGGUCUCAAGCGUUGUUCGGAUUCAUUGGGCGUAAAGGGUGCGUAGGCGGCGCGGUAAGUCGGGUGUGAAAUCUCGGAGCUUAACUCCGAAACUGCAUUCGAUACUGCCGUGCUUGAGGACUGGAGAGGAGACUGGAAUUUACGGUGUAGCGGUGAAAUGCGUAGAUAUCGUAAGGAAGACCAGUGGCGAAGGCGGAUCUCUGGGCCUUACCUGACGCUCAGGCGCGAAAGCUAGGGGAGCGAACAGG
rnacentral:rRNA from 1 species